rnacentral:rRNA from 1 species
CACCGGCGGCUCGAGUGGUAACCGUUAUUAUUGGGUCUAAAGGGUCUGUAGCCGGCCGGAUAAGUCUCUUGAGAAAUCUGGCAGCUUAACAGUCAGGCUUUCAGGAGAUACUGUCUGGCUCGAGGCCGGGAGAGGUGAGAGGUACUUCAGGGGUAGGGUGAAAUCUUGUAAUCCUUGAGGACCACCAGUGGCGAAGGCGUCUCACCAGAACGGACCUGACGGCAAGGGACGAAAGCUAGGGGCACGAACCGGAUUAGAUACCCUGGUAGUCCCUGAGCGGG